rnacentral:tRNA from 1 species
GCAGUCGUGGCCGAGUGGUUAAGGCGAUGGACUCGAAAUCCAUUGGGGUUUCCCCGCACAGGUUCGAAUCCUGUCGGCUCG